UCGCCUCCUGUGGGAAGUUACUGCGCAGGUUACCGUAGGACCUGCUGAGGUGUCAGCUCCCUCCUGGAAGAGGCCCCUGCAGCCUUCAAGUACGUGGGCCUCUCACUGUUGUGGCCUCUCCCGUUGCGGAGCACAGACUCCGGAUGCACAGGCUCAGCGGCCAUGGCUCACGGGCCCAGCUGCUCCACGGCAUGUGGGAUCUUCCCGGACCGGGGCACGAACCCGUGUCCCCUGCAUCGGCAGGCGGACUCUCAACCACUGCGCCACCAGGGAAGCCCCGGAAUAAUCUUACUUAUCGUCUUAGAAGUCCUCUUUUUUUUACCAGCUUCUUUUGAGCCUUCUAUCACUCAAGCCUCACCCCUACACCUGAAUUAGGCAGGUGCUGGCCACCAACAGGCGUUCACCCUCGAAACCCCUUAGAGGUACUGCUUCUCAACACUUCUGUGCUAUUGGCCUCUGGCGUGUCCAUUACUUGGGCCCAUCACAGCAUUAUGGAAGGAAAUCGCAAACACAUACUUCAAGCACUCUUUAUUACAAUUACUCUUGGUAUCUAUUUUACAAUCCCACAAGCAUCAGAGUAUUACGGUCUCAGAUGGGGUCUACAGAUCGACUUUCUUCAUAGCCACAGGAUUCCACAGACUACAUGCAAUUAUUGUGUCUACCUUCCUUGUUGUUUGUUUCCUGCGCCAAUUAAAAUUCCACUUCACAUCCAACCACCACUUCGGCUUUGAAGCUGCUGCUUGAUACUGACCUUUUGUAGAUGUUGUAUGACUCUUCCUUUACAUAUCUAUCCAUUGAUGAGGCUCAUAGUUCUGUUAGUAUUAAUUAGUGCAACUGACUUCCAAUCAGUUAGUUUCGGUACACUCCGAAAAAGAAUAAUAAACUUAAUACUGACCCUAUUAACAAAUACAACACUGGCCUCA